CGUGAUUUUCCCCAAAAUUAGUAAACAGUGUCAUUUUUAUUUUUUCUCCAUCUCUCUUGGUAAGACCUUGGUAGCUCCAAAUCGAGAGAAAGAGUGAAGAGUUCAAUAAACUUACUCUUUUCCAUGAGCUUGAUCGCUGACUUGCCUUCACACUUCCGAUGAGCAUGGACUCGCGAACACUAUAAAAAUAGCAGCUCUGGAUGUAGAAAUUAAUAUAUGGAAGUGGAGAAUAAAGGACAUUCAACAACAAGAUCUAAGUGUCACUCAACCUGAUAUAUCCUUUAGACAAGAGCUAGACGAGCUCCACAAGCUAGAAGUCCUCUACAAGCUAGACAUCCUAAAGAAAACCUACAAGCUUUACAUCAGUACGGGUAGAUCCAGAUGGUAAAAAAUGGCUACAUGCCACUAUGGUGGUAUAAAGUUGGAGAUAGAUAAGAGUUAUGGAACGUCAAUAUUGAUACCACUUGCACAUUUGUCCAGAAAAGUCAGAAAAUGAAGAUAGAUAUGCAUAUGAUCACAAAGUUGAUUGGGAAUAAUUUCUUAGAUCAUAACUUAUCAUAGCUCUUGGGGUUAAAAACGGU